rnacentral:sRNA from 1 species
AUACCCAUUUUCCCCUGUUCUUGUUCUGUUUUCUACUAGUUGUGUCUGAAAGUAAAGUCCUCUGUUUUUGCUCUGUUUAUGUCGUCUCUGAACUCCUACAAUGGC